rnacentral:lncRNA from 1 species
AGUUUCAGUCCUGAAUUUUUACGCUAUGAAUUUGCCAUUAUCCUUUUGUUCUGUGGUUCAGAUUAUAGGCACAGGAACAGUGGAUGCCUUUGGUGAAAAAGGAGAGACUGGACCUCCAGGUUUUCCAGGACCAAAGGGUGAAAGAGGUGAAAAAGGUCCACCAGGACGCCCAGGUGCUCCAGGUUUACCUACUCCAGGGUUGCAAGGUCCACCUGGCAUACCUGGUGACAGAGGUGAAAAGGGUGAUCCUGGUCUCUCUGGAAUUUCUUUGCCUGGACCACCUGGGAGAGAUGGUUUACAAGGGCCUCCCGGCUCACCAGGCCCUCCGGGCCCACCAGGAAAUGGUAAUAGGAAGUCAGGAUUUUAUUUCAGCUCAAAGACAUUAAC